GCUUGUCUCAAAGAUUAAGCCAUGCAUGUCUAAGUAUAAACAACUUUGUACUGUGAAACUGCGAAUGGCUCAUUAUAUCAGUUAUAGUUUAUUUGAUGGUUCUUACUACAUGGAUAACCGUAGUAAUUCUAGAGCUAAUACAUGCAUCAAAGCCUGACUUCUGGAAGGGUUGUAUUUAUUAGAUAACAGACCAAUAUUCCCUCGUGUCUAUUGUGGUGAAUCAUAGUAACUGAUCGGAUCGCAUGGGCGUGCCCGCGACAAACCAUUCAAGUUUCUGCCCCAUCAGCUUUCGAUGGUAGUGUAUUGGACUACCAUGGCUUUUACGGGUAACGGAGGAUUAGGGUUCGAUUCCGGAGAGGGAGCCUGAGAAACGGCUACCACAUCUAAGGAAGGCAGCAGG
rnacentral:rRNA from 1 species